UAAUACGGAGGGUGCGAGCGUUGUCCGGAAUCACUGGGCGUAAAGGGCGCGUAGGCGGUGACUUAAGCGUGUGGUGAAAGCCCGGGGCUCAACCCCGGGUCGGCCGUGCGAACUGGGUCACUUGAGCACUGUAGAGGCAGGUGGAAUUCCGGGUGUAGCGGUGGAAUGCGUAGAGAUCCGGAAGAACACCAGUGGCGAAGGCGGCCUGCUGGGCAGUAGCUGACGCUGAGGCGCGACAGCGUGGGGAGCAAACAGG
rnacentral:rRNA from 1 species